CUUCCAAGGAGACUUUAAAGGCCAUGCAGUUUUCACCUCGCUCACUGGAAUGCUCGUUCCUGGAGUCCGGAACUCCCGGGGAAGAAGUCCAGCUCCCCUGCCAUAACCAGGCUAGUAAGGACAGCCAUUGGCACUACAGUUGACAGUCCCUGUCCAGGUGGCAGACAAGUCAAGAAGCCAUCUGGGAAGGGGGUCCUCCAGCCGUCGCUCUCCAAACCCUGGCUGUUAGAGUCGCCCCCUGCUGUUCAGGCCAACGAGCUGAGGCUGGACAUUGCGGAACAGAGUCAAUGCCUGAUAAAUGCCUUUUCCAAAUUCCUGACCCACAGAAUCAAGCAGGGAUCUCAUCCUGGGAAAAGGAAGCCAAGAGGACCAGAGGCUACGGCUCUACCAGGUGCCCAGAGUAGUACCUCAGAGAAGUUGUCCAGGGGACAGGCAGUCCAUAAGAAAAGACACAUGAGACUUUCUACAAAGGAACUGACUUUACUUGAGACAAGUAGAGGCGAUGGCCUUGGGAACGCCGAUGGUAAUAAAUUGGCAAGGACUUGGCUGGAUACGGAGAGGAGUGGAAAAAGGAGACAAUAUCCGGGUUCAACGCUGAGAGCAUUGUGGCCCUACUCACCGCCACAAGCACAAUCUGGAAGACAAGCAGGUUUGAAGUAGAAAGGGCACAUUUCACAGGAUGUGCUGAAUUUUAAGUACCAGCAAGCCUCCAGGUGAAGCCGUCCAGCAAACGCUGAAACUUUGCACCUGGGAUUAAGGGCAAAGACGAUGCUAAGGACAGACGUUUCCAUAAAGGAGAAAGUUGACAGCACAGGAGUAUGAUGUGACCAAGGGUGACACUGUCAAGGAAGGAGCCCAGUGGGGCAGGCAGUGCUGACCACAAAGAUUUCAGAGAAGGGAUAAUCAUCUGCAGAAUGCUUAUGCCAGAGGAGGGAUGUUUGAGUACAGUUCAUCUCGGAGAUAUGAAGAAGUGUCGAAACAAACAAGAAAACUCUUUCAGAGGUUUUGGGGGUCAAAAAAACCCCUAGUUCUUAAAUCUUCAUAAAUUAUUAAAUGUGUUUUGACUCCUAUUCCUGAACACUGGCUGCCUUCUUGGAUUGUGCUGACUGGUUGAGUUGGUAGAAAUGGGAACAUUCACUGGUGCUCUUCAAAUGUUACUCCCUCGCAAAUUACCCACUGGCCUCUCUUGGGACCUUAACAACACAAAUAAGGACUGGUUUAACAUUUAA